CCUACGGGUGGCAGCAGUAGGGAAUCUUCCACAAUGGACGAAAGCCUGAUGGAGCAACGCCGCGUGAGUGAAGAAGGGUUUAGGCUCGUAAAGCUUUUUUGGUAGUGAAGAAAGAUAGAGGUCGUAACUGGCCUUUAUUUGACGGUAAUUACUUAGAAAGUCACGGCUAACUACGUGCCAGCAGCCGCGGUAAUACGUAGGUGGCAAGCGUUGUCCGGUUUUAUUGGGGGUAAAGGGAGUGCAGUCGGUUCAAUAAGUCUGAUGUGAAAGUUUUCGGCUCAACCGGAGAAUUGCAUCAGAAACUGUUGAACUUGAGUGCAGAAGAGGAGAGUGGAACU
rnacentral:rRNA from 1 species